CUUAAAUUGAAGAGUUUGAUCAUGGCUCAGAUUGAACGCUGGCGGCAGGCCUAACACAUGCAAGUCGAGCGGAAACGAGUUAUCUGAACUUUCGGGGAACGAUAACGGCGUCGAGCGGCGGACGGGUG
rnacentral:rRNA from 1 species